CGCCCCCAGACCCCGGCGCGUCGGCUCGUCCCCUGCGAGGGAGGAGGAGCCACAGCCCCGCCGCCCGGCCGCGCGCCGUGCAGAUGCCCCGCCCGCCCGGGCCCCGCCGGCUUCCCGGGACGCACUCCCCUCCCUCCCCGCCGGCGCGCGCACCCUGGACCAAGCGCGCCUUGAACUAGCAGCGCGCUGGGCUGGACUCGGAGAGAAACCGUGGCAGAGCUCGGCCGCAGCGUGGUGGAUGGCGUGGGCUCAGCUGAAAGGAAGUCAAAACGCUCCCUUCCUUCCGCGGCUUCUUGUUUCCCCGUGUCGGAAGAGGUCUGCGCUCCGAUGUAGGUGGUAGUGCCUGGAAGGUGCGGAGGAGAUGAGAGAUAAGUGAAUGUGGAAAGAUUGGUGUUACAUAGGACGAGGUGGCCGAGUGGUUAAGGCGAUGGACUGCUAAUCCAUUGUGCUUUGCACGCGUGGGUUCGAAUCCCAUCCUCGUCGGCCGUCUUUUAUAGAGCGGCGUGAGAAAAGCAUCUAAAUUUUCACAUCCUACCUGUUUGGAGCAGCAACCUGGAGAAAACUCAACUGGAGGUGCGAGGGCACUCCAAGUGGAUGAAGAGCAGCUCCUGCCCCCUGCUGGUAGCCCCAGGCCCAGAGGCCUCCACCCAGCAGAGGCCUAAGCCAAGCUCGCCAUUCGCCCUGGGCUGGAUCUCAGCUUCAGAAGGAGACGUUGAGAAGAGGCUGCCAAAGAGCCCGGAGGGGCCACUUCAGAGAAGCGCCUUGAAGAGGAAGGAGAGGGAGGCUCCACAGGAAAGUCCCAGGGCCAGGAAGAAGGUCAUGAGGGCGCCAGCCACCUCCCUCUCGUGUGGCAGCACCUGCCUAGAACACCCGGGAACAGGAGCUCUUAGAAAACGCUGGGUCCAAACCUAGACCCAGCUCCACCACCCGCUGCCCAUCCAGUCUGGGCUCUGUCACCAAAACUGGCCCCGUCUUUCUGGGCCUGUUUCCUGGUCUGUAAAUGAGGCUGCUGGAUAAGGAUGUCUCUCAGGGCCUCUGGGUCCAACAUGAUGGGAUUCCAGAUUCCACAGCCUGCCCUUUCCACAGUGCUCCCAACCUGUCUGCCCUGCCAGCUUCAUUUUCUCUGGAUUCGCCACUCCAUUGCCCCUUGAGGAAAUAGCCCAUGAACCUUGUUUUUCGUCAAAACCUUAGCUCUCCAGCCUGGGCGACAGAGCGAGACUCCGUCUCAAAAAAAAAAAAAA